AUGGCGGUGAAGGUGAUGGAGGUGCGGGUGGUGUUGCCGGUGGACGACAACGACGACGGCGAGGAGCGCGCCACGAUGGAGGUCAGCAGCGACGACGACGUGGCCUUGCUCCUCAGCUUCAGGUCCCUGAAGUCCCGGAUCACGUCGGGCUUGGUGAUCUCAUGCGACUCCACGUCCUCCUCGCCCUUCAGCAUCCGGGUCACCGUCGACAUGUCGGGCCGCCGUUUCGUCACGUUCUUGGUGCACAGGAGCCCCACCUUCAGGAACCUGCACGCCUCAUCCACGUCCAGGUCGUCGCCCAAGGAGCUGUCGAUGAUCUCGUCCAGCUGCCCCUGGUCGUAG
rnacentral:rRNA from 1 species